rnacentral:misc_RNA from 1 species
UUUCCGUAGGUGAACCUGCGGAAGGAUCAUUAAUGAGUUGUCAUGGGGUUCGAUGCUGGCAGCCAAUUUUUGGAUGCAUGUGCUUGCCCUAACAAUCAUCUUCCAAACACCUGUGCACAUUUUUGAGGGAGUCUUGAGUUGGUUGCCGCUCUUGGGUGAUUUUCUCACAUUCCCUUAAAUCAUUAUACGCUAUUAACAAUGUUGAACGUGCUCUGUGCCGCAAGGCUAUUAAUUUAAUACAACUUUUAACAACGGAUCUCUUGGCUCUC